GGUUUUUUCUCCGUGAGUGAUUUCAAGUCUAAAGGAGGAGACUCAAUGAGACAGACGUAGGUCCUCCAUCAUCAGUUAUUACACUUCUGAAACGAAUAUAUCAAAGGAGACCUAAAAACCGACUUUAUUAAAAUUCUUCCUAUCAGAUAUACUACAACUACAUCUUAGCUGAAUGCAAUUUGUGGCCUCUCUUCCUUCUCUGCCCUGGUGAAUGACUGCUAAAGUAAUUUAAAUCAUGUAAAACAUGAUAAACAUUGAUUUGUUGCCUUGGCCAUUGAACUGGACAUCUUGCCUUCUUGCAGAGCCAUGAUCUGCUUUAUAAGAAUUCUGUUAGCCUGCUAGAGCUAUGUGGAGAGGCUGUCAGAAAAGCCACAUAAGAGAGAGAGGCCCUGAGACACAAGCCUGGCCAUCCCAGUGUUUCAGUCAAGCCCAGGCCCCUGCUGACCUGCCAGCUGGAUGAAUCCACUUGAGUAGCCAUCAGGAAGAUCAACAGAAGGGUCAC